UACGUAGGGUGCGAGCGUUGCCCGGAUUUAUUGGGCGUAAAGGGCGCGUAGGCGGCCACGCACGUCCGUUGUGAAAUCGCCCGGCUCAACUGGGCGGGGUCAGCGGAUACGGUGUGGCUCGAGCAAGCUAGGGGGCAAUGGAACUCCCGGUGUAGUGGUGGAAUGCGUAGAUAUCGGGAAGAACACCAGUGGCGAAGGCGGUUGCCUGGAGCUUUGCUGACGCUGAUGCGCGAAAGCGUGGGGAGCGAACAGG
rnacentral:rRNA from 1 species